CUUUGCUCUGGGUGCGACUGUGCCGUCACAAAGGCUGGUGGGCCAAUGAGCGAGAGCGAUUAAAAUAGCUCCUUAUAUAUAGCGGAGAUUGCUGCGUGAGCUAAGUUGAGAAGACGUGCCAAGAAGUUAUGCAGGAUUUGCUUGGGAGAAUGUCCUCGUGGAUUGCCUGCAUAUUCUUAUCUUUAUCUUUCUUUGCAGUCUCCAUAAUUAAACAGCAAUUUGUAGCUGGCCCAUCUCCAAGCAUUCAAGGUAACCCUUUUCCAAAGCCGUCGACUGAAACUGUUGGACUUCGCUUCAGAACUACUGGGACCCAUUAUCUAUCAUCCAUAAAUGUUGCCUCUCCACCCAGAUGUCAGUUUUAAGUCAACAGCACAUGCUGCUGUCAAGACAUUUUGACCCUUAAGGAAGAACUGCUACUGUCCCACCAAAAUAAUCUAAUAAAAAGUGGGGGAAAGGUUUUAAAAAUGUCUCAAUACUAAAACAUGUAUUAAACUUAUGUUUCAGUAUUUUCAUGUGACUUAGUCAUGAUUAACUUUAGCUGGAUUUGGGAUUUGAUAUUAUGUAGCAGCCAUUUGCCAUUCUGAAUGUUUUUUUAAAAAAUUGUCUCAUGCUUCUUGCAGAUCCUUAGAAGAGAUUGCUGGUAUUUUUGCAGGCAAUAAAAACCUGAUGUACAAAG